rnacentral:tRNA from 1 species
GCCAUCUUAGCUCAGUUGGUAGAGCACUAGACUUGUAAUCUUGAGGUCUUCGGUUCGACUCCGAAAGAUGGCU